rnacentral:rRNA from 1 species
GACGAACGCUGGCGGCGUGCCUAAUACAUGCAAGUAGAACGCUGAAGGAGGAGCUUGCUCUUCUGGAUGAGUUGCGAACGGGUGAGUAACGCGUAGGUAACCUGCCUGGUAGCGGGGGAUAACUAUUGGAAACGGUAGCUAAUACCGCAUAACAGUAGAUGUUGCAUGACAUUUGCUUAAAAGGUGCAAUUGCACCACUACCAGAUGGACCUGCGUUGUAUUAGCUAGUUGGUGGGGUAACGGCUCACCAAGGCGACGAUACAUAGCCGACCUGAGAGGGGGAUCGGCCACACUGGGACUGAGACACGGCCCAGACUCCUACGGGAGGCAGCAGUAGGGAAUCUUCGGCAAUGGACGGAAGUCUGACCGAGCAACGCCGCGUGAGUGAAGAAGGUUUUCGGAUCGUAAAGCUCUGUUGUAAGAGAAGAACGAGUGUGAGAGUGGAAAGUUCACACUGUGACGGUAGCUUACCAGAAAGGGACGGCUAACUACGUG